UGGAUCCAGACUUUGAUUAUGGUCAGGAUGAACGCUAGCUACAGGCUUAACACAUGCAAGUCGAGGGGAAACGAUAUUGGAAGCUUGCUUCCGAUAGGCGUCGACCGGCGCACGGGUGAGUAACGCGUAUCCAACCUGCCCACCACUUGGGGAUAACCUUGCGAAAGUAAGACUAAUACCCAAUGACGUCUCUAGAAGACAUCUGAAAGAGAUUAAAGAUUUAUCGGUGAUGGAUGGGGAUGCGUCUGAUUAGCUUGUUGGCGGGGUAACGGCCCACCAAGGCGACGAUCAGUAGGGGUUCUGAGAGGAAGGUCCCCCACAUUGGAACUGAGACACGGUCCAAACUCCUACGGGAGGCAGCAGUGAGGAAUAUUGGUCAAUGGACGAGAGUCUGAACCAGCCAAGUAGCGUGCAGGAAGACGGCCCUAUGGGUUGUAAACUGCUUUUAUAAGGGAAUAAAGUUAGUCUCGUGAGACUUUUUGCAUGUACCUUAUGAAUAAGGACCGGCUAAUUCCGUGCCAGCAGCCGCGGUAAUACGGAAGGUCCGGGCGUUAUCCGGAUUUAUUGGGUUUAAAGGGAGCGUAGGCCGGAGAUUAAGCGUGUUGUGAAAUGUAGAUGCUCAACAUCUGAACUGCAGCGCGAACUGGUUUCCUUGAGUACGCACAAAGUGGGCGGAAUUCGUGGUGUAGCGGUGAAAUGCUUAGAUAUCACGAAGAACUCCGAUUGCGAAGGCAGCUCACUGGAGCGCAACUGACGCUGAAGCUCGAAAGUGCGGGUAUCGAACAGGAUUAGAUACCCUGGUAGUCCGCACGGUAAACGAUGGAUGCCCGCUGUUGGUCUGAAUAGGUCAGCGGCCAAGCGAAAGCAUUAAGCAUCCCACCUGGGGAGUACGCCGGCAACGGUGCAACUCAAAUGAAUUGA
rnacentral:rRNA from 1 species